rnacentral:lncRNA from 1 species
AAUAACAAGCAUAAUGCGAAGCUGACAUUCUUGUAGGGGCUCCGGGCCCCACCAAGAGUGUGGGAAUGUGGUCCUCAUUGGAGCAGCACUCCAGCCAGCCUAGGAGGCUUGCCUUCCUCGUCCCAGCAACGUCUGAGAAGCCGGAGUUCCUCCGCUCACUGUGGUAAGUACGUCUGGGAUAAGAUGGUCUGGGUGUGGCUGGCCCUGGGCUCUGACUCUGAGCCAUGAGUCAUUGAACUUGACUCCCAAUGGACACUGAGGACAGCUGCCUGCCCCAGUGCUCAGAGCCGCUGUCCCACGUUGACAGAGGCCCCUGUGGGGAAUUGUCUCCUUGGUCCCUAAGGAGGAUGGGCUGAGUCCUCCAGGACCUACUUGCUCAUCAGGCAGUCUCCAGGGGGUGCCCUGACCCAGGGCCUGGUGGCAGGAGGCAUUUCCCUGGCUUAGGACGUGCAGGCAGUGGCUAAGAGCGGGGUGCUGGGGCCCCUGCUGCAGAGCCUUGCUGCUGGGACUUCUGGAGCUGCCUUUCUGACAUGCGCUUUGUUGGUUGCCAGCCGCCUUCUCCCGAGAACCUUCAGGUUCCCCUGGGCAGGAACCGACGCCCUGUGCUGUGCUGCGUGAGGCUGGCUGCAGUGUGUCUGAACAACACGAGGCCAUCUGUGCAGCCUAGAAACAAAAACAUCAAAGCCAGCCUCUGAAGAGCCCCCCCUCUUCCUUCAUUCCUAAGGGAACAUUCUGGAAGACCCUGGACACCCUCAUCAUUGGACUAGGCUCCUCAGGCUUUUCUCUGUGGCUUGAGAGCCCUUGAGUGCUGAAUCUGUGGGCUUGUGUGGUGGUUCAGCAGCCUGCAGAGGAAGGGAAGCCACCGUCCCACCUCUCUGGAGACCUCGCUCCGAUCCGGUGUUCCUGCAUCAGGCUCCUGCCCUCACACCACCCUGGUGAGCACCCCCAGCCCCCUACUGCCUGCUGCUGCCCACCUGAGUCAGCCCCUUCCUGAAUGCUCACCAUCACCUACAUCAUCUACACCAUCACUAUCUACACCCGUCACCUCUAGGAGCAGGAAUUUUGUCUGCGAGGUUUUGUCUCUGUGAGUUACUUCACUCAAGGAAGCAAUGAGUGUGGACGCCAGAUGAUGUGAAAGGGGGGCGGCGUCUACAGGAGCAUUCGCACACACAUGUGGUGUAUCUGGAGGACACCCCAGGUUUACCCACGCCAGUCACGCCCAACUCCCAAGUGCACAAACAUCCCAAUUUCUCACUGAAUGGAUCUUUGCCACCAGAGUUGAGUUCCAGGGAUUUUUGACCUUGGUUGUCAUUGUUGGGAUUUAAGCUCUUCCUGGGUGGGGUGACUCGCAGGAGCGUGGCGGGGGAGAGAGUGAGACAUCUGUGAGAGGGUGACACAGCCAUGCUGGCCCUGCUCCUGGAGUGAAAUGUGGCUGCUGGCCCAGCACACAGGUCACACAGGCCUCCGUGGCUGCGUGGCAGGAACGCAGUCUGUCUCCCUGGUCAGCCCAAGUGCAGAGCAGGACAGCUGAGAUGGCCCGGCUCCAGGUGCAGGUGCCAGGACCCUGUUCUCCCAUAAGCUUCUGCGUGGUCCUGCUAAUUGGCCCUGGUCUAAUUGCUGCCAAGUCCCACUGCAGAAGGCCCAUUAGACACCACAGCUAAUCCCCCAGCUGUGGGCGAAUUCUAACCGCAUCUGAUGCUAUCUCUCUGAGUCACCUGCUUGCCAUUAUUCCCAGUGGGAUGUGGGCCACAGUGGUUUCUGGAGUCGAAGAAGACUGAACCUGUCUCCAUGGACAUGUCCUAGGCCUCUCACAGACAAGCUCUAUCGUCAGCAGAGCCCCGGCCGGCCAGCUCUGCCUUCCUGAUGUGGAACCACUGGGUGUGGGGGAGGCCAGCCAGGCCUGCAGGGACAGAGUGGGCACCAAGCCUGCAGUGGGCACGCCUUGCCUUCUGGACUGUCAGCCUUGUGUCCUGUGGGUCUGGGUCCUCAGCCUCUGUCUUCAAGAGGGAGGGGACAUGAGCUCUCUCCAGCAGCCGCCCUUCCUGCCUGCACCUCCCACUACGCUUGCCUGUCUCUGCCACCCAUGGCCUCUCCCUGUCACCCUGCAGUGGCUUCUGCCAGACUCAGAUUCCUUCUUGCUCUGACUCUAGGAUGUCAAAUGCCCCUGACUCUGAAACUCAGGACCUGGAAGCUGCCACCCUGCAGUGGGGUAACGAGGAGGGACUUGGGUGCACACAACCCGGCCACAGAGACUCAAGAGAGGGGGACAUCAACACUGAAAGAGGGCAGUGGCCGGCAAGACGGGCCUAUCCCCCAGAAAGCACUGGCUGGGCUUGGGGCACCAGCUCAUCCCUGACUGUGAGCCCCUCUCAUCCCUGGCCCAGGAGCAGCGGGGAAUCCUGGAGCUCAUCCUCUGUAAACUGACCCUCAACUGCCGUCCUAAAUUUAGAACACACGUGGGCUUUCCGCUCCAGCAGUGUGGCCUGGUCCUUACUCUGCUGCUUUGAUGCCUCUGGAGGAAUUUGCUAUUUAAGGACAUCCUAUGAUUAAUCACUUCAUAAAGCAAAAGCCAUCUCCGCUGUUCUGUUGGGAAUAGCUGUUUUCACAGGUGGGUGUUGCUCAAAGCAGGGCUGCCAGUUUAAAAAAAUAUAGAUGCCCAGUUGAGUCUGAAUUUCAGACAAACAAUAAAUUAUUUUUUAUUAAAAGUAUGUCCCAGUUACUACAUGGGACUCCCACAUGUGACAGAGCUGAAUUGUGUUCCCCCAGAAUUUGUAUGGUACCAGGAAUUAAACCCAGGGGUGCUAAACCACUGAGCCACAUCCCCAGCUCUUUUUAUAUUUUAUUUAGAGACAGGGUUUUGCUGAGUUGCUUAGCACCUCACUAAAUUGCUGAGGCUGGCUUUAACUCGAGAUCCUCCUGCCUCAGCCACCCGAGGUCUGGGGUCAUAGGCGUGGCCACCGUGCCUGGCUGUAUGUUGGAGUUCUAACCCCCAGUCCUUCCGGGUGUGACUUUACUUGGAGAUGGGGUCUUUACAGAGGUAAUCCAAUUAAAAUCUGGUCAUUAGGGUGUGGGUGACAAAGUAAUAUGACUUAUGUCCUCAUUAAAAGGGAAACUGAGGACACAGACACACCCACAGGGAGAGCCCAUGUGAACACGAGGGUGGAGACCAGGGUCAGGCGACACGCCAAGGGUGUCCAAGAUGCCAGCAAAACGCCCCACGCUGGGACGGGCCUGGGACAGGUUUGCCCUCGCAGCCCCAGGAGCCAGCCCACCCUUCCUGGCUGCCUGGCUUCCAGAGCCAGGAGCCGACGCCGUCCUGUGGUCUAGGCCACCCAGUGUGAGUGCCGCGUUCCCACACACCUGGUGACCCUCGUGACAGCCACUUGGUUUGUUCAGGGAGAGCUUGGGACCCCAGAGCAGGGGAUUUCUACUCUGCCCAUCCCUGAUCUGGGCCAGGGGGUCUCCACAGUGACAAAUUCCCGGUCUCCGUAGCAUUUCGUGUCCCUAUUUGGGGUGGUGGAAGGAGCAAUUCUGUGAAGCCCAUCGAGCCUGGUCCUGUCAGUCAGGGUGGCAAGGGAGGGUCCCGCAAGGGGGAUCCAGAGCCGCCCAGGUCAGGGAGUGAGGGAGCCCACGCAUGGUCAGGGACACCCAUGCCGUAGAGCCUGACCCCUGGACCCCAGACCAGCUCCGUGGGGCUUGUCUGAUGGAGAAGGGCAACCCCGGGGCUUGCGGAGGGAGGCCGCCCAGCCUGUCGUGGCCUGAAGGUGACCGGCCUGCAGCCAGGGCUGCGGGUGCUGGAUUAUUGCUUCCUGGAUCUCGUGGGUCGGGCUUCCUUCCCGGGGCAGCAGCCCUGGCACGGCAGCUCCCUCCCCGCGAAUAGCCGCGGACACGUGUAUCCUGGCCAUCUGGGUUGAGAGCAUUUCCUCUUCAUUGUUUGAAGGAAAGUUCAGGGCGAAUAUGGAAAAAGCUGCAAGUGGGGCGGGCUGCCCGCGCCCCCAGAGGUGUAGCCACACCCGGAACGUGGCCUGCCCUGCAGGGCCAGGAGUGGCCCCAGGUCCCCCUUCCCGGGGCCUCUCUCUGCAGCCUGGCCCCCCAUCGAGGCAGGAGAACCUGGGGAGCUGUGGGGUCCACGAGGACAAAGUGCACAUCACUCAGGGCUGCAGGGGCCCCACUGCCUGCAGCAAUGUGCACGAGGUGAGCCCCAAGGGAACUGGGGCCUGAGGGUGCUCCUCUAGGCACCUGCCCCUGCGCACAGCUCGCCCCUCCCUCAAGCGGCAGCAGGGCUUGGGUGCUCCCCGUGGGUGCAGGACCUACCUGCCAACUGUCACCCUCUAAUGCACUAAUGGAGAAUCUGUCGCCGUCACCCUCCGUUCAGCCUGACGCAGAACGGACCUGAGGCUGCUGCGUGUAAUUGUUAUGGGUGGAGGUCGAGAACCGCCACUGUCCAGACAGGCCGGAACCAGUACCCUGGAUGAGUCUGUCUGAAGACGGGAGUGGGGACAAGCAGCCUGGGACCCGUCUCAGGGCCCAGCCUCUCCCAUGCCAGCUGCCUCCACACAGCCAUGGCUCCAGCAAGUGUAGUGCCGCGCCCCAAGUGCCACUUCUCAGUGCUUGUCAUGCCCCAUGCCUCUCCCUCCCUUCUCCAACACACACCCCACACCUAAGCACAUGCCCCUCCAGUGGGAUGCAACCAAGUCUCUCUGUUAUGGACGAGGAGACACAGCAGAAGUAACGUGUGCCACUUCUGGGAGUCAUGUUCCUUUAAGGAGAGAAUGUGCCUUCCAGUCCCCUUUCUCCUCUCCAGCGGCUAGAAUGUCAAUGUAAUGGCCCAAGUUCCAGCAGCCAUGUUGGGCCAAGGAGAAGGCACUUAAGGCAGGAGGAGCCCAACCCCUCACUUUGGUACUGGGUACUCUACCAUUCAGCUACAUCCGCAGCCUUUUUCAUUUUUUAUUUUGAGACAAGUUCUUGCUAAGUUGCCCAUACUGAACUUGAACUUGAGAUGGUCCCGGCCUUGGUCUCCCAAGUAGCUGGCGUUACAGAUGUGAGCCACGGCACCUGGCUCAGUGUGCACGGAUGUGAGAGGACACCACUUUGGAUUUUUCCACCUUAUGAAUGACAGAUCUAAUAGCUAAUAUAUCAAAUGACAGAAAUGUGUAGCUGUGAUUUUCCUUAAAGGGAAACACUGCCUUACUUUUCUUUGUGCUCCUUUCAGGAUGUGGCGCAUAGUAAGCAAUUUGAUUUGAUUUAAACUUGUAAAAUCCUGCUGCCCCGGGGGAGUUCUAUACAACACCUGGUUCCUGCUGUGUCACCGUCCUGGCCUUUGUCUCUCCUGAAAACAACCUCUUUGACAUUCCAGACAGGGCUCUUUGAGGGAGGCCAUGCUCAAUUUUGGCCCAAUUUCUGUUGAUCUUGGUCUGGAUUAUAUCACUUCUUAGGUCAAACCUUUGAGAUGAGAAGUCGCCCCAAAGGCCACUCUGGGCAGCUCCUUGCGCGUCAACAGAGCGUCCGAGCCAGGCCACGUGUGGGGUCAGAGUCGCCGAGAGGAAGGGCUUCCAGGAAGGAAGGGCCGGGUCAGCCGGCAGAUGCAGCCCAGGUGGGGAGGCAGCCUUCCGCUGUGGGACCGUGACCCUGCACAGGGUCCUCUGAUAGAGGCAGAGAGUCAGGCUGCCAGUGCCCAGAAAGGGCGGGGCAAGGAAGCAAAGAACAUCUGGGGCAGGAACAGGUAGGGCAGUAACUCCCGGAGCCAGGGGCGGCCCUCUUAUGUGGGAUUUUCAAGGGGAGGGCGGUGUCCUGUUCUACUUAUAGCAACAAUUUCUCCCUGGCCUGGGUUUCCUCUCAGGUAUUGCUGGAGAGAAGGUCGGGAAAAGGGGAUAUUUCAUAUUUUUCUGGAUACAUAGCUAUGUUAUCUGUAUUGUUUAUGUUUUUUCAAAAUGUAUUUGCUUACUUCUGUCACUUAAAUAGAAACCAAAAUUCUGAUAAAGAAAGAAGAGCUGGGUGCAGGGACAUACUUGGCAAUCCCAGCAAUGCGGGAGGCUGAGACAGGAGGACCACAACUUUGAGGCCAGCCUGGACAACUUAGUAAGAACUAAAAAGGGCUUGGAAUGUAGCUCAAUGGUAGAGCAUCCUUGGGUUCAAUCCCCAGCACCAAAGAGGAAAAAAGGAAGGAAGGAGAUUCAAGAGAGAGUGAGAGGCUGGGGUUGUGGCUCCGUGGCCACACAGAAACAAAUAAAUGAAACAAAAGAUCCAUUGACAACUAAAAGUAAUUAUUAAAAUAAAAAUAAACAGAGAGAGCAAGAGAGGGAGGAAAUAGAUAAAUGAAUAAUGAAUGAAUAAAAAUAAAACCCCGGGCUGGGGUUGUGGCUCAGAGGUAGAGCGCCCGCCUAGCAUGUGAGAGGCCCUGGGUUCGAUCCUCAGCACCAUGUAAAAUAAAAUAAAGACAUUGUGUCCACCUAUAACUAAAAAAUAAAUAUUAAAAAUGAAUUUAAAAAUAAAAUAAAGGGGCAAGGGACGUCUGCCCUUUGCCUUCUCUGGGAAUGGGACUUGUUUACAACCAUGUGGUUUAUCAGAAAAGGGGUCCCUGGUGAGAAAAACACUGGGAAUUCCAAUUGUUACAAGGACCUGGCUUUGGGCGAAAAUGUCAAAACAGGGUGGUGGGGCAGCCUGCCCUCCACCAGGUGACAGAUCUAGGGACCUCCCUUCAGUGCCAGGGUUCCCCAGAGAAGCAGGACAAACAGAAUAUAUGAAAAAUACAGAAAAAGAUUGAUCUGAUGUGAUUAGUCUGUGAUUAUGGAGACGUCCCGCGUUCUGCUGUCUGUAAGAUGCAGGGGCAGGAAAGCCGAGGUGUCCAUCCUGGUCUGAGUCUGAAGACCCCAGGCCCAGGACCACUGAGGUCACAGGGCAGGAGAAGACAGACGUCCCAACUGAAGCAGAAAGUGACUUCGCCCUCCCUCUGCCUCGCUCUCCUCUGCUCUCGUGGAUGGGAUGAGACCCCCUCACCCGGGAGCCGAGGUUUCCCUAGUCUGUCUCCUGAUUCAAAUGCUCACCUCUUCUGGACACCUCCUCAAAGUCACACCCACAAUUAGUAUUUUACCAGCUGAGUGUCCCUUUGCUCAGUCAAGUUGACACAUAAAAUUAACUGUCCCAUAACCCCAAUGUGUGCCAUGCGACUCCAAAGCUGCAGUCUGUGAAUCGCUCCCUACCUGGCCUCCCACAGCCGACCGCUCAGCCAACCCCGGAAUCCCACGGUAUCUGUCCAUUCCUCAGGGAAUAAAACGAAGCUGACCGAGGUCCUGCAGCCCCAGAGUGGCCCCGAUGGAAUUUGACUUCGCCAUCUACUCGGAGCUGACGCAGCCGGCGGAAGGGCUGGCAGCACAGUGUGUGCUGCGGGGUGGAUGGAGCUCCGGGC